GGCGAACGCUGGCGGCGUGCUUAACACAUGCAAGUCGAACGGAAAGGCCCUGCUUUUGUGGGGUGCUCGAGUGGCGAACGGGUGAGUAACACGUGAGUAACCUGCCCUUGACUUUGGGAUAACUUCAGGAAACUGGGGCUAAUACCGGAUAGGAGCUCCUGCUGCAUGGUGGGGGUUGGAAAGUUUCGGCGGUUGGGGAUGGACUCGCGGCUUAUCAGCUUGUUGGUGGGGUAGUGGCUUACCAAGGCUUUGACGGGUAGCCGGCCUGAGAGGGUGACCGGCCACAUUGGGACUGAGAUACGGCCCAGACUCCUACGGGAGGCAGCAGUGGGGAAUAUUGCACAAUGGGCGGAAGCCUGAUGCAGCAACGCCGCGUGCGGGAUGACGGCCUUCGGGUUGUAAACCGCUUUCGCCUGUGACGAAGCGUGAGUGACGGUAAUGGGUAAAGAAGCACCGGCUAACUACGUGCCAGCAGCCGCGGUGAUACGUAGGGUGCGAGCGUUGUCCGGAUUUAUUGGGCGUAAAGGGCUCGUAGGUGGUUGAUCGCGUCGGAAGUGUAAUCUUGGGGCUUAACCCUGAGCGUGCUUUCGAUACGGGUUGACUUGAGGAAGGUAGGGGAGAAUGGAAUUCCUGGUGGAGCGGUGGAAUGCGCAGAUAUCAGGAGGAACACCAGUGGCGAAGGCGGUUCUCUGGGCCUUUCCUGACGCUGAGGAGCGAAAGCGUGGGGAGCGAACAGGCUUAGAUACCCUGGUAGUCCACGCUGUAAACGGUGGGUACUAGGUGUGGGGUCCAUUCCACGGGUUCCGUGCCGUAGCUAACGCUUUAAGUACCCCGCCUGGGGAGUACGGCCGCAAGGCUAAAACUCAAAGGAAUUGACGGGGCCCCGCACAAGCGGCGGAGCAUGCGGAUUAAUUCGAUGCAACGCGUAGAACCUUACCUGGGUUUGACAUGGAUCGGGAGCGCUCAGAGAUGGGUGUGCCUCUUUUGGGGUCGGUUCACAGGUGGUGCAUGGCUGUCGUCAGCUCGUGUCGUGAGAUGUUGGGUUAAGUCCCGCAACGAGCGCAACCCUUGUUCACUGUUGCCAGCACGUUAUGGUGGGGACUCAGUGGAGACCGCCGGGGUCAACUCGGAGGAAGGUGGGGAUGACGUCAAGUCAUCAUGCCCCUUAUGUCCAGGGCUUCACGCAUGCUACAAUGGCUGGUACAGAGAGUGGCGAGCCUGUGAGGGUGAGCGAAUCUCGGAAAGCCGGUCUCAGUUCGGAUUGGGGUCUGCAACUCGACCUCAUGAAGUCGGAGUCGCUAGUAAUCGCAGAUCAGCAACGCUGCGGUGAAUACGUUCCCGGG
rnacentral:rRNA from 1 species